rnacentral:rRNA from 1 species
UACGUAGGGUGCGAGCGUUAAUCGGAAUUACUGGGCGUAAAGCGUGCGCAGGCGGUGAUGUAAGACAGAUGUGAAAUCCCCGGGCUCAACCUGGGAGCUGCAUUUGUGACUGCAUCGCUGGAGUGCGGCAGAGGGGGAUGGAAUUCCGCGUGUAGCAGUGAAAUGCGUAGAUAUGCGGAGGAACACCGAUGGCGAAGGCAGGUCUCUGGGCUGACACUGACGCUCAUGCACGAAAGCGUGGGGAGCAAACAGG